UACGUAGGGGGCAAGCGUUGUCCGGAUUUAUUGGGCGUAAAGAGCGUGUAGGCGGCUUUACAGGUCCGUUGUGAAAACUCGGGGCUCAACCUCGAGACGCCGGUGGAAACCGUAAGGCUAGAGUCCGGAAGAGGAGAGUGGAAUUCCUGGUGUAGCGGUGAAAUGCGCAGAUAUCAGGAAGAACACCCGUGGCGAAGGCGGCUCUCUGGGACGGUACUGACGCUGAGACGCGAAAGCGUGGGGAGCGAACAGG
rnacentral:rRNA from 1 species